rnacentral:rRNA from 1 species
GAUGAACGCUAGCGGGAGGCUUAACACAUGCAAGUCGAGCGGGAAGGGUAGCAAUACCCUGAGAGCGGCGCACGGGUGCGUAACGCGUAUGCAACCUGCCUUAUACAGGGGGAUAGCCCAUGGAAACGUGGAUUAACACCCCAUAGGACUGGAUUUUCGCAUGGGAAUUUAGUUAAAAUUACGGUGGUAUAAGAUGGGCAUGCGUCUGAUUAGUUAGUUGGUAGGGUAACGGCCUACCAAGCCGACGAUCAGUAGGGGUUCUGAGAGGAUUACCCCCCCCACUGGUACUGGGACACGGACCAGACUCCUACGGGAGGCAGCAGUGAGGAAUAUUGGUCAAUGGGCGAGAGCCUGAACCAGCCAUCCCGCGUGCAGGAUGACGGCCCUAUGGGUUGUAAACUGCUUUUCUGCUCCAAGAAACCUGAUUACGAGUAAUCAGUUGACGGUAGAGUAGGAAUAAGCAUCGGCUAACUCCGUGCCAGCAGCCGCCGUAAUAC